UACGAAGGGGGCUAGCGUUGCUCGGAAUUACUGGGCGUAAAGCGCACGUAGGCGGUCUUUUAAGUCGGGGGUGAAAUCCUGGAGCUCAACUCCAGAACUGCCUUCGAUACUGGAAGACUUGAGUCCGGGAGAGGUGAGUGGAACUGCGAGUGUAGAGGUGAAAUUCGUAGAUAUUCGCAAGAACACCCGUGGCGAAGGCGGCCCACUGGGCCGGUACUGACGCUGAGGCGCGAAGGCGUGGGGAGCGAACGGG
rnacentral:rRNA from 1 species